AGGUGUUUUUGUCGGCUUUAUUUGGGGUUGGAGGAAUGUAUUUGGAUUUCAAGGUGUUUUUGUUCCACAGCGAGGUGUACGUUUUUGGCGUGCAAUGUAUGUGCAGUGGACGGGAAACAACUCUCACAUUCAAUCUCGACAAUGAUCCUCAAAUUGAAGGUGAAUUAUUUCCAAAUUGUUUUUACCAGAGAGAAUGCUACCCAGUUUGAAUUUUUUUGUUUCUUCUAACUGUCAAGAUUAAGGGACUGUUCGUCUGUAAUUGAGAAAUCAUGCAGGCCUGGAUAUUGUAGUCGAAGUUUUCAAAUGAUUCCAUGCACUCUCGUGAUGAUAAUUUUCCUGGAAAGUCUCAAUUUUAUGCGCGGCUGGACAAAUGUACUGAGGAUAUGAAGGGGCCUUUGCUCCACAGGGAGGUGUCGUCAUUGGUGUGAAUUGUAUGGGAGGUGGUCGGAAAUCAAUUCUCACACUGAAUUUCCACAAUGAUCCUCAAUUAAGAAAUCGUGCAGGCAUCAAAAUUUUAGUCAAGUUCUACAAUGGUGGACGAUUAUAUGCAUCUCUUUAUGAUAAUGUUUCUGGACAUUCUCAGCUUAUGUGGAGUUGGAGAAUUGUAUUGGGAAUUUGAAGGGGCUUUGGUUCCAUUGUGAGGUGUCAGUU